UUCUUUGUUGCCGUCAAUGAGAGGGAUUCAGAACAACAGUUGGAGGUAGACCCAGUUAGGGCCAGAGAAGCCCUUCAAUAGCUUAACCAGCAGCUCCAAAUACUCUCCAAGAAACAAGUCUCCCCUCCAAAGAUAAAGGCUUCGGAUGUGAAACUCACAAGAGAAGAAAACACAACAGAAGAAAUGACAGUAUUAUCAGGAUCCUUUCUAGCCUACUUAGCUUGGUUUUCUCAUUAUUUUCACCAUCUUCUGUAAUGAGCUAUUUUAUACAAUAAUACAACCAAUCAUAGAUGGACCAGAAUUUGUUCCAGACAGUGUU